AUUGAACGCUGGCGGCAUGCCUUACACAUGCAAGUCGAACGGCAGCACGGGUGCUUGCACCUGGUGGCGAGUGGCGAACGGGUGAGUAAUAUAUCGGAACGUACCUUAUUGUGGGGGAUAACGCAGCGAAAGCUGUGCUAAUACCGCACAAUCCCUAAGGGGGAAAGCGGGGGACCGUAAGGCCUCGCGCAAUUAGAGCGGCCGAUACCUGAUUAGCUAGUUGGUGAGGUAAAGGCUCACCAAGGCGACGAUCAGUAGCUGGUCUGAGAGGACGAUCAGCCACACUGGGACUGAGACACGGCCCAGACUCCUACGGGAGGCAGCAGUGGGGAAUUUUGGACAAUGGGGGCAACCCUGAGCCAGCAAUGCCGCGUGAGUGAAGAAGGCCUUCGGGUUGUAAAGCUCUUUUGUCAGGGAAGAAACAGCAGCUCUAACACAGUAUGCGAAUGACGGUACCUGAAGAAUAAGCACCGGCUAACUACGUGCCAGCCGCCGCCGUAA
rnacentral:rRNA from 1 species